CCUACGGGAGGCAGCAGUGAGGAAUAUUGGUCAAUGGACGAGAGUCUGAACCAGCCAAGUAGCGUGAAGGAUGACUGCCCUAUGGGUUGUAAACUUCUUUUAUAUGGGAAUAAAAUGUUCCACGUGUGGGAUUUUGUAUGUACCAUAUGAAUAAGGAUCGGCUAACUCCGUGCCAGCAGCCGCGUUAAUACGGAGGAUCCGAGCGUUAUCCGGAUUUAUUGGGUUUAAAGGGAGCGUAGGUUGAUUGUUAAUUCAGUUGUGAAAGUUUGCGGCUCAACCGUAAAAUUGCAGUUGAAACUGGCAGUCUUGAGUGCAGGAGAGGUAGGCGGAAUUCGUGGUGGAGCGGUGAAAUGCUUAGAUAUCACGAAGAACUCCGAUUGCGAAGGCAGUUCACUGGACUGCAACUGACACUGAGGCUCGAAAGUGUGGGUAUCAAACAGGAUUAGAUACCCUGGUAGUC
rnacentral:rRNA from 1 species